AAAGAGAUGUUCAAGCAUGUAAAUACUAAGAAAGCAGAAUCUUAUUUGGGAAGAAUUUUAGUAGACAGUUUUAUCUACUUAUCCUUUGGUAGAAGGUAGGGUUUCAGGGAAAGGAACAUAGAGAUAACAAUGUUGGGUUUAUAUUAGAAAAGAGGAUGCUCUUUUACACAUUUCCUGAUUUAAAAAAAGUCAGCGCUGACUAAAAGUAAUCUGUAAGAUUUUAAAAACUGUACUUCAUUUAUCUAAGUAUCAUAGUAAUUUCUCAUAUAUCCUGAGAAGAAACACAGAAAAAUUCCCUAAAAAACACCCUAGUUUGAGUGAGAAAUAGAAUAAAAGGAGAACUGUUUCAUUCUUUCAGUUUUAUGAGAAUGCCAUUAUUUUGUUAUGUCUGCUAUAUCAAUCUAAUGUAUCUUCUGAAUGACUUCAUUUAUUUUUUUCUACAGAAUAUAGUCAUAACAUUCAAUUUCAUCAUAACUCUUAAUACUUUCUGAUUGUUUAACUUUUUAAAGUAUCCUAUAAUAUAUAUUUUUUAUUUUUUCAUUUGAAAUAGCUUUAUGAUUCAUGAGUCCAAAGAGGACAGUCUUUCCAUCUAUCCAUCUUAUAACUGAUGUGGCUCCUAAGGAACAGCAAAACCUGAAACAAUUAUGGGAACAAGCAUUUGUCAACCUCGCACAUGAAGCCACUCUUUAGUUUUCUACACCAGAAGUUCCAACGUCAAGCUACAUUCAAAGAGAGAAACAAUACAUUCGGUACACAAGUUAGGAAGAGUCGGAAAUUCCUCAUAAGAUAGAACAUGUGCAAUUGAAUUCCAACUAUUAGGUUUUCUGUGGAAAAAAAACCAUACAUGUGUGCAUAUAUAUGGCCAUCUGAUCAUUUUAAAAGCAUACUCAGAAUACAUUAAAAAAACACCAUGAGUAUGAAUUAUCUAUGCUCUAAGUACUUAACUUCUCUUUCUGCAUUUAUGUCAUCACUUCUUAUCUCUUUAUAUCUUGAACUUUUUCUUUCCCCCCACCUCACUCUGUGACUACUAAACAAAACUUUCAUUUCUAAUAUCCA
rnacentral:lncRNA from 13 species